GGACGGGUGAGUAAUAUAAGGGGAUCUGCCUGAUGGAGGGGGAUAACUACUGGAAACGGUAGCUAAUACCGCAUAAUGUCUUCGGACCAAAGCGGGGGACCUUCGGGCCUCGCGCCAUCAGAUGAACCCAUAUGGGAUUAGCUUGUAGGUGAGGUAACGGUCACCUAGGCGACGAUCCCUAGCUGGUCUGAGAGGAUGAUCAGCAACUGGGACUGAGACACGGCCAGACUCCUACGGGAGGCAGCAGUGGGGAAUAUUGCACAACUGGGCGCAAGCCUGAUGCAGCCAUGCCGCGUGUAUGAAGAAGGCCUUCGGGUUGUAAAGUACUUUCAGUCGGGAGGAAGGUGGUAAGGUUAAUAACCUUAUCAAUUGACCGUUACCGAAGAAGAAGCACCGGUAACUCCGUGCCAGCAGCCGGGUAAUACCGGACGGGUGCAAGCGUAAAUCCGGACUNUCACUGGGGCGUAAAGCGGCCAAGCCCAGCACGGGAAGAACGAAGUCCAAAACGNGAAAAUCACCCGGGAUUACAACACCCCAGGGGAAUACGCUACCGACAUACCCAUACCGGGGGGGCACAAACGCNCUCUAACACAAAAACGC
rnacentral:rRNA from 1 species